UCCAGGGUGUAAACGCUGCAGACUUGGUGUUGGGGAUCCUACGAGGAUGCCCAGUGCCGGAGAGAAGUUGUUAAGUCUGCCGCUUGGGGAGUACGGCCGCAAGGCUGAAACUUAAAGGAAUUGGCGGGGGAGCACAGCAACGGGAGGAGCGUGCGGUUCAAUUGGAUUCAACGCCGGACAACUCACCGGGGGCGACGGUCACAUGAAGGCCAGGCUGAUGACCUUGCCUGAUU
rnacentral:rRNA from 1 species